AAAAUGCGAUAAGUAAUGUGAAUUGCAGAAUUCAGUGAAUCAUCGAAUCUUUGAACGCACAUUGCGCCCGCCAGUAUUCUGGCGGGCAUGCCUGUUCGAGCGUCAUUUCAACCCUCAAGCCCCCGGGUUUGGUGUUGGGGAUCGGGCUGCGGUUCUACCGCGUCCCGGCCCCGAAAUCUAGUGGCGGUCUCGCUGCAGCCUCCAUUGCGUAGUAGCUAACACCUCGCAACUGGAACGCGGCGCGGCCAAGCCGUUAAACCCCCAACUUCUGAAUGUUGACCUCGGAUCAGGUAGGAAUACCCGCUGACCUUAAGC
rnacentral:misc_RNA from 1 species